GCCCGGCUAGCACAGUCGGUAGAUCAUCAGACUUUUAAUCUGAGGGUCAUGGGUUCGAGUCCCAUGUUGGGCG
rnacentral:tRNA from 1 species